rnacentral:rRNA from 1 species
UACGUAGGGUGCGAGCGUUGUCCGGAAUUAUUGGGCGUAAAGGGCUCGUAGGCGGUUUGUCACGUCGGGAGUGAAAACUCGGGGCUCAACCCCGAGCCUGCUUCCGAUACGGGCAGACUAGAGGUAUGCAGGGGAGAAUGGAAUUCCUGGUGUAGCGGUGAAAUGCGCAGAUAUCAGGAGGAACACCGGUGGCGAAGGCGGGUCUCUGGGCAGUAACUGACGCUGAGGAGCGAAAGCGUGGGGAGCGAACAGG